AGUGAACGCUGGCGGUAGGCCUAACACAUGCAAGUCGAACGGCAGCACAGUAAGAGCUUGCUCUUACGGGUGGCGAGUGGCGGACGGGUGAUGAAUACAUCGGAAUCUACUUUUUCGUGGGGGAUAACGUAGUGAAACUGACGCUAAUACCGCAUACGAUCUACGGGUGAAAGCAGGGGAUCUGCGGACCUUGUGCGAUUGAAUGAGCCGAUGUCGGAUUAGCUAGUUGGCGGGGUAAAGGCCCACCAAGGCGACGAUCCGUAGCUGGUCUGAGAGGAUGAUCAGCCACACUGGAACUGAGACACGGUCCAGACUCCUACGGGAGGCAGCAGUGGGGAAUAUUGGACAAUGGGCGCAAGCCUGAUUCAGCCAUACCGCGUGGGUGAAGAAGGCCUUCGGGUUGUAAAGCCCUUUUGUUGGGAAAGAAAAGCAGCAGGUUAAUACCCCGCUGUUCUGACGGUACCCAAAGAAUAAGCACCGGCUAACUUCGUG
rnacentral:rRNA from 1 species